rnacentral:lncRNA from 12 species
CAUUAUAUAUACAACAUGCCCUAAUAUACAAAUGAGAAAGGAUGAGCUCAAGCCCCUCCUUCGCAUGACUCUGGCAAACCCUGCUGAGUGCCCAUCCCCCCUUUGCUAACCACACUCCAACUUUGUUUGGGAUCACCUUGUCCCCUAUCCCCAUGGGUGGGUCAGGGCUAGUCCCAGCUAAUCAUGCAGCUUCCAAGUGCCGACCAAUGAGGCAUAAAUAGAGGUUGACUGUGUGGGGUUUCAGGAGACUUAAAAAAAAAUUUUUUUUAAAUAAGGAGCAGGGAUCCCUGGGUGGCGCAGCGGUUUGGCGCCUGCCUUUGGUCCAGGGCGCGAUCGUGGAGACCCGGGAUCGAAUCCCACGUCAGGCUCCCGGCAUGAAGCCUGCUUCUCCCUCUGCCUGUGUCUCUGCCUCUCUCCCUCUCUCUCUCUCUCUGUCUGUGACUAUCCUAAAUAAAUAAAUAAAAAUAAAAAAAUAAAAUAAGGAGCAGACUGGGCUGGUAGUGUUCCUUUUGACCACAACUUCCUUCUUUUUUUCCAGGAACCUAGACGUGAUGCUGGAGGUGUGGCAGCCACUGUGGUACCAUAAGAUUGAAAGCCAACAUCUAAGGAUGGUGGAAGACAUCAUGAGGCCAGCAAACCAGUCCAGGCAACUGACCUGUAGAUUCCUUGUCAUGUGAGGAGAGGAUGCCCUUAUAAUGUUUAAGCCACUAUUUUCAGGUUUUCUUUGACUUGUGACCAAAGGUAUUCCUCGCAGAUGCAGAUUAGUACCUGUCUGUGGGAUGUUUCCGUUGCUGUCGGCCACCUUAGGAUAUUGUAACCUUGCUUGGGGGGCACCUCUACAUACCUGCCGACUGGCUGACUGGCUGAAUGGGGCAGAGUGUGUCUGCUGGAGAUCAUGAGCCAUUCCCAGGAUUCAGGACAAAGUCUGGAAGAGGAGGGCUUGCUUGUUGCUUCCCUGAGUCUUUGAGGUUGGAGGACAGAGUCAGUGGGAACUACAAGUCACCGCUCUUUGGGGUAAAUAGACAAAAGGGGAAUCAGCAGGUGGGAAUAGAAAUUGAGUUGGGACAGAAGGUUGGACCUGCGGGUCACCUGGGUGGUUCAGUUGGUUAAGCAUCUGCCUUUGGUUCAGGUCAUGAUCCUAAGGUCCUGGGAUCGAGCCCCGAGUCAGUCCCUGCUCAGUGGGGAACCUA